GGGCUUCGUCAUAUUCAUAAACUUUACAGAAGGUCCACUAAUAUUGAGCAUUAAUAUCACUGAGAAAACUGGCAGUUUGGUGAAUCUGACCGGCGCAUCGCCAAGCUACAAAGUAAUUCAUUACGAUAACGACACCAUGAUACUGGCUAAUAAAUUCGCAACAUUUAGGGAACAAGCAUUAUGUUCAUUGUGGGUGAC
rnacentral:lncRNA from 1 species